rnacentral:tRNA from 1 species
GGUGGCUCAGUGGUAGAGUGCUUGCCUUGCAAGCAUGAAGCCCUGGGUUCAAUUCCUCAGCACCA